CAAGGGAUAUUGCGCAAUGGGCGAAAGCCUGACGCAGCGACGCCGCGUGAGGGACGAAGGCCUUCGGGUCGUAAACCUCUUUUCUUGGUGAAGAGUAAGGACGGUAAUCAAGGAAUAAGCCCCGGCUAACUACGUGCCAGCAGUCGCGGUAAUACGUAGGGGGCGAGCGUUAUCCGGAUCCACUGGGCGUAAAGAGCGUGUAGGCGGCUUCCAAAGUUGGCAGUGAAAGGUCCUGGCUUAACUGGGAUAUACCUGCCAAUACUGGGGAGCUAGAGGGCAGCAGAGGAAAGUGGAACUCGCGGUGUAGCGGUGAAAUGUGUAGAUAUCGCGAGGAACACCAGUGGCGAAGGCGGCUUUCUGGGCUGUUCCUGACGCUGAGACGCGAAAGCGUGGGGAGUGAAGCGGAUUAGAUACCCGCGUAAUCCACGCCUUAAACGGUGGAUACUAGGUAUGGGGGGUAUCGACCCUCUCCGUGCCGAAGCUAACGCCUUAAGUAUCCCGCCUGGGGACUACGGCCGCAAGGCUA
rnacentral:rRNA from 1 species